GAUGAACGCUAGCGACAGGCUUAACACGUGCAAGUCGAGGGGCAGCAUAAAAGUAGCAAUACUUUGGUGGCGACCGGCGCACGGGUGAGUAACGCGUAUGCAACCUACCUAUCAGAGGGGAAUAACCCGGCGAAAGUCGGACUAAUACCGCAUAAAACAGGGGCACCGCAUGGCGAUAUUUGUUAAAGAAAUUCGCUGAUAGAUGGGCAUGCGUUCCAUUAGGUAGUUGGUGAGGUAACGGCUCACCAAGCCGACGAUGGAUAGGGGAACUGAGAGGUUGGUCCCCCACACUGGUACUGAGACACGGACCAGACUCCUACGGGAGGCAGCAGUGAGGAAUAUUGGUCAAUGGGCGGGAGCCUGAACCAGCCAAGUCGCGUGAAGGAAGAAGGAUCUAUGGUUCGUAAACUUCUUUUGCAGGGGAAUAAAGUGCGGGACGUGUCCUGUUUUGUAUGUACCCUGAGAAUAAGGAUCGGCUAACUCCGUGCCAGCAGCCGCCGCCGUAA
rnacentral:rRNA from 1 species